rnacentral:rRNA from 1 species
GAUGAACGCUGGCGGCGUGCCUAAUACAUGCAAGUCGAGCGAACAGACGAGGAGCUUGCUCCUCUGACGUUAGCGGCGGACGGGUGAGUAACACGUGGAUAACCUACCUAUAAGACUGGGAUAACUUCGGGAAACCGGAGCUAAUACCGGAUAAUAUAUUGAACCGCAUGGUUCAAUAGUGAAAGACGGUUUUGCUGUCACUUAUAGAUGGAUCCGCGCCGCAUUAGCUAGUUGGUAAGGUAACGGCUUACCAAGGCAACGAUGCGUAGCCGACCUGAGAGGGUGAUCGGCCACACUGGAACUGAGACACGGUCCAGACUCCUACGGGGGGCAGCAGUAGGGAAUCUUCCGCAAGGGGCGAAAGCCUGACGGAGCAACGCCGCGUGAGUGAUGAAGGUCUUCGGAUCGUAAAACUCUGUUAUUAGGGAAGAACAAAUGUGUAAGUAACUAUGCACGUCUUGACGGUACCUAAACAGAAAGCCACGGCUAACUACG